rnacentral:piRNA from 1 species
UUCAAGGAUAAACUAGAAAUGUGGCCC